UACGGGGGGAGCAAGCGUUGUUCGGAUUUACUGGGCGUAAAGGGCGCGUAGGCGGCCAGCACAAGUCAGUUGUGAAAUCUCCGAGCUUAACUCGGAAAGGUCAACUGAUACUGUGCGGCUAGAGUGCGGAAGGGGCAACUGGAAUUCUUGGUGUAGCGGUGAAAUGCGCAGAUAUCAGGAAGAACACCCGUGGCGAAGGCGGCUCUCUGGGACGGUACUGACGCUGAGACGCGAAAGCGUGGGGAGCGAACAGG
rnacentral:rRNA from 1 species